UGUUCCUCAGCAAUCUCAACAAAAGGAUGGUUUUAGAAAUAUCUUGCUGAAGAUCUCAGCUAUUACUGCCUUUCCUCAUGGGAAUUGAGGCUUGCAGACCGGAAAGCGGAGCGUCACAGCUCAUAUUCAAAGCAGCGAGUAGCAAGUCAAGAUCACUUAGAAGAUAGAUCUCACUUGGAAGGAACCAUGCUACGGAGUCUGUGUUCUUAUUCUGCACUCUGGCCCUGCUCCUUCAUCCUGGUAUAAAAAUCUGACAACACAGGAUGAAAAAUUACUCCAGAGCCUGUCAGUGGAUGAGCAAAUGAAAUCCAUCAUGAAUUUAAAUGGAGACAUGUAUUAUAACCUCCUGCCUUUCAUUGCACCAUGGAUCUUUUUCCUGUGUAAUGUUUAUGGGGGUUUUGUUGAGAUGCAAGGACAAGGACAAAUUCAAGGAGUUCCUGUCUUCUUUGUCACGAGCUCCUAUUACAAUUCAUUUACUUGGUGGGGAAGAGGUAGGAUAAGGUCUCUGUUGAGGAAACAUACACCAUGGGGGUGCAAUUUGUAACUCCCUC